AGAGUUUGAUCCUGGCUCAGGAUGAACGCUAGCGGCAGGCUUAACACAUGCAAGUCGAGGGGUAGGGUAGCAAUACNUGAGACCGGCGCACGGGUGCGUAACGCGUAUGCAAUCUACCUUUUACAGAGGGAUAGCCCAGAGAAAUUUGGAUUAAUACCUCAUAGUAUAUAUCAUUCGCAUGUUUGAUAUAUUAAAGUUCCAACGGUAAAAGAUGAGCAUGCGUCCCAUUAGUUAGUUGGUAAGGUAACGGCUUACCAAGACGAUGAUGGGUAGGGGUCCUGAGAGGGAGAUCCCCCACACUGGUACUGAGACACGGACCAGACUCCUACGGGAGGCAGCAGUGAGGAAUAUUGGACAAUGGGCGCAAGCCUGAUCCAGCCAUGCCGCGUGCAGGAAGACGGUCCUAUGGAUUGUAAACUGCUUUUGUACGGGAAGAAACACUCCCUCGUGAGGGAGCUUGACGGUACCGUAAGAAUAAGGAUCGGCUAACUCCGUGCCAGCAGCCGCGGUAAUACGGAGGAUCCAAGCGUUAUCCGGAAUCAUUGGGUUUAAAGGGUCCGUAGGCGGUUUAGUAAGUCAGUGGUGAAAUCUGGUCGCUCAACGAUCAAACGGCCGUUGAUACUGCUAGACUUGAAUUACUAGGAAGUAACUAGAAUAUGUAGUGUAGCGGUGAAAUGCUUAGAUAUUACAUGGAAUACCAAUUGCGAAGGCAGGUUACUACUAGUGGAUUGACGCUGAUGGACGAAAGCGUGGGUAGCGAACAGGAUUAGAUACCCUGGUAGUCCACGCCGUAAACGAUGGAUACUAGCUGUUGGGCGCAAGUUCAGUGGCAAGCGAAAGU
rnacentral:rRNA from 1 species